AGCCCCGAGGUGUUGUACAUACGAGAUUGCAAAUCCCGAGUCGCAGGUUAACGCCUGCCGGGGCUUCCCCC
rnacentral:tRNA from 1 species